GUUGGACUCAAUAUGCAUUUUGACAUUGAUUCUAACAGAGCCAAGAUUUCCUUCAUUAAGGGAGGACUUUAAUACCACCUCAAUAAGAUCAGAAGGUUCUCACAGUUGACCAGAAGAAAUGCCAGAGGACACAUUCAUCAGGUCCCCAGUGGAUGAGGAAUACUACAGGAAAUACAAAGUAAAGUAAUCUGUAAGCCAACCCUUCAAACUCCAGUGGGGGAAGGUUCCUAGAAAAAGCACAAAAGUAAAUGCUGUUGACCUCCCUGACAAGAGGCUGAAAAGGAACCUGCUCUGGGAAGCCAAGGCUUUUUGCCUCUGUAACAACUGGGUAGGUGAUGGCUGUCUUGGAAAAUUUAUGGUAUCAUUUUAU
rnacentral:lncRNA from 1 species